AGGAAGGGAUAUCCAGAGUUUACCAGAGAUUGUGAAUACUGGUUAACUCUUGCAUUACAGAGGUGGACAGAAAAGGGGUGAGAGAAAGAAGAAAAUCUUGUGCAGCGAGGCUGCGGGAGGAGGAGAGGCAUACAGUUAGUAACAUCAGAAGAGCAGUUAGCAUGAAAAUAGUGGUAGAAGAUAGCAAGAGAUGCAACUUCACGGCGAUGAGAAAGAGGCUGAAGACAGUCAGUUAAGGGAGAGAAGUUGUUAAGUCUUUGAUUCCACUCUGUCUAAAAGAGCAGAAUGAGUGUAAUCUCCCCAUACAUGUGAAGCAUACUUCAUACAUGGACGAAUAAGGCCCCUGUACAGAGUUAUCAGUUGGAGGAGCGAGAAAAACUGGCGGAGACUCAGAACACUUAACUUCAUGGAAGCUGUUUUAGCUAGAGAUGAGAUGUGAAGUUUCUGGUUUAGAUUAUAAGUAAAUGAUGUUCAAUGUAGAAGAGGGGGCCAGUUUGAGUGUCACUGAAGAAGAGGGGAUAGUUGUCUGGAAGGCUGAGUGGAGUUUAUAGAUGGAGGAAUUUAGUUUUUAGGCAUUGAACAGUACUAAGUACGCUCUGCCCCAAUGAGUCAGGCUUUCUGUGGCUUCUAUGCGAGAACUGUUUACUUCCUGAAGGGUUGGAUUUCUACGAAAAGACGUGGAAAAGUGCAGGGCGGUAUCAUCAGCGUAGAAGUGGAUAGGACAAGAAGUUUGGUUUAGAAGGUCAUUGAUGAAUAACAGGAAGAGAGUGGGUGAUAGGAGUCAUACUUUGUCCGACCGCCGUUUACCCGCGCUUGGUGACCAAGCAGCCGAUAGCAGGCGGCCAAGACAACCCCUUUGGGGGGACGACAGGGUAGUGGGCUCGGCCAGCACUACUCACACCUACCGCCUUCGGACGGCACAGGUGAUGCGAAACCUACCUGCCGAAGUCGCCCCCGACAGGAUUCCAGCUGAGGACGCCACCCUCAGACCAGGCGGUUGGCUACCUGAAUUACUAGGCCCGCUGCAACAUGAAACACCAUUCGCAGACGUACGCCUUCUGCUAGCGCGCCUCUGGUCCGAGAGACGAACACAGAGGCUUUAUGUCCGCCCCUCGGACCAGCGGGGGACUGGUACCGCAUCCGCACCGUGUACCCCUUUACCAAAGCCAUGAAUCCGCUGGUCUUCAGGCAGGAAGAGCGCUACCUUCCCUCCAGUGGGCAACAGUAGCAACAGAACGGUCAGGAAACUUGAGAUAAAGUUGUAUUAUAAAUGAUAUGUCUAGCGUGGCGCUUUGUUAUGUUCUUUCGUCUGUGCGCUUUUCGUACGUAUGCUGAUUGAUGACGUGGUGUCUGCCUUCCUGGGAGGUGCAGCCAGUGUAGGGAGUCAGUUGUACUCCUGCAUUGACGUCACCGCCACCGCCUCCUCCCUGCCCAGGAUUAAUGUGUCGUGGAUACAGUGUUUGGUUUUGUUGGGUGACACAGGAACUUGGAUUGAUGAGUGUGUGACGGUUCAACUGGGAGAUGGUAGUGGACGGUGCACUACGGUGACUUGUGUAUGCUGGAGUACCUGGGAAUGUCUGACAACCAAUUAACUGGGAGGUGGUGGUUGGUGUCUACCUGCUGGUAGCUGUCCGACGACCAGUUGAGUGGUGCUGGUUCAGCUGGGAGGUGACGGUUGGUUCUGCCUGAUGGAAAGUACCUGGUGGCUGUCCGUCAUGCAGUGACUAGGGCGAAUGUGCCGUGGGGAAAUGAAAAGUGAGUUGUUUGUAUGAUUACUGUGUUUUGGGGACGAUACUUGCAUUGCUGAUGCAGGUUGUCACUGGGCUGUGAAAUUUAUAAUAUCUAAGAUUGUAUUCGUGAUGUUUGUGUUAUUGUGGGUCCAUAUUGUAUGUUUACUAUGUUUACUAUGAUAUAGUAACUGAUAUUUGUGGUUCUGUAUAGCUUACACUGGGUUUCCCAAACAGGUUGAAAUAAAUUAUUUGACAACG